rnacentral:misc_RNA from 1 species
UCCGGCUUAUCACCGGCAGUCCCUCUAGAGUGCCCAACUGAAUGAUGGCAACUAAAGGCGAGGGUUGCGCUCGUUGCGGGACUUAACCCAACAUCUCACGACACGAGCUGACGACAACCAUGCACCACCUGUCUCCCCUGUCCCCGAAAGGCCCACACUAUCUCUAAUGUGUUCAGGGGGAUGUCAAGACCUGGUAAGGUUCUUCGCGUUGCUUCGAAUUAAACCACAUACUCCACUGCUUGUGCGGGUCCCCGUCAAUUCCUUUGAGUUUCAGUCUUGCGACCGUACUCCCCAGGCGGAAUGCUUAAUGUGUUAACUUCGGCACCCAGGGUAUUGAAACCCCUGACACCUAGCAUUCAUCGUUUACAGCGUGGACUAC